CAGGUGUUGGCAGGGCUGUGCUGCCUUUGAAGAUUCUAGGGAAGAAUCCUGCCUGACUUUUUCCAGUUUUGGGUGGUGGCCGGCAAUGCGCAGCAUUCCUUGGCUUCAGGUUACCUAACCAAACUCCUGUAAAACCACACCACCUAUGCCUGUGAUGGGGACUAUCUGAAUCUACAGUGCCCUCGGCAUUCUACAAUAAGUGUCCAAUCGGCAUUUUAUGGACAAGAUUACCCAAUGUGUAGUUCCCAGAAGCCUGCCUGCCAGAGGGAAGACAGCUUAACUUGUGUGGCACCCACCACCUUCCAGAUGAAUUAAAAAACAAAACCGUGUGUGAAGACAAGGAGCUGAAACUGCACUGCCAUGAAUCCAAGUUCCUCAACAUCUACUCUGUGACCUAUGGCAGGAGGAUCCAGGAAAGGGACAUGUGCUCCUCCAAGGCAGAGCGGCUCCCCCCCUUUUCAGUUUGUGCUUUUGUAUGGGUAUUAGCCGGGGUUCUCUAGAGGGACUGAACUAAUAGGAUAUAUAAUGGGAUAUAUAUAUAUGAUUGUGGAAGUCAAUACUUAAUAACACAAUCACAAUCUUGUGAUCGUGAAUGUUAAUACUUAAUAAACUCCCAUAUGUGUGUG
rnacentral:lncRNA from 1 species